rnacentral:misc_RNA from 1 species
ACAAACUUGGUCAUUUAGAGGAAGUAAAAGUCGUAACAAGGUCUCCGUAGGUGAACCUGCGGAGGGAUCAUUACGAGAGAUGGCGGGCUCCGGCCCCCGUCCCCCACCCUUUGUUGACAACACCUCUUUGCCUCGGGGGCAGAACGGCCGCGCCGUCGCCCCCGGAGGACCACCAAACUCUGCCUCUGUACGUCGGAGCAUUCAUUGAAAUAUACAAAAACUUUUAACAACGGAUCUCUUGGUUCUGGCAUCGAUGAAGAACGCAGC